rnacentral:lncRNA from 1 species
CCUCUCUCCUAAUUGUGUCUCACAGAUGCAUAGUGAGGAGGUUAUUCAGCUUGUAUUUACAUCAUUACCCAUCUACCAUCAGAGUGUAUUGCUAACUGGUUCUCCUUACAAAUGCUUGUUGUGUUUGUUUUGUGUUUUUAAUUUUAUGUUCCACUGCUUGUCUACUUUUUCAUUGUUUUUAAUCCAAACUUCUACUUCAGCCUCUGCUCAUGAAGUCUCCCUCUCCCGAGUCCUUUGGGCUGCAAUAAUCAGGCUAGAGCGCAAUGGCGCGAUCUCGGCUCACUGCAAUCUCUGCCUCCCAGGUUCAAGUGAUUCUCCUGCCUCAGCCUUCCGAGUAGCUGGGACUACAGGUGCCUGCCAUCGCGCCCAGCGAAUUUUUUGGAUUUUUAGUAGCGACAAGGUUUCAUCAUGUUGGCCAGGAUGAUCUCGAUCUCCUGACCUCGUGAUCCGCCCGCCUCGGCCUCCCAAAGUGUUGGGAUUACAGGAAUGAGCCACAGCACCCGGCCCAGGAAUUUCUUUAAAUAACAUCACUGCAGUUCCAGUUCCAGUUUCAGUUACUUUCAUUUCUGGAGGUAACUGGCUAACUGAACGAGGAAAUGUUAUUGUUACCCUACAGACUCAAGCUGAGUGGAGACACACACUGAACAGAUGACAUGCCAGCCAAACUUGCCCCAAAAGUUGGGGAGGGAAAUGGUGCUCAACUGAAGGCAGCUGCUCUUGGGAGAGUCUUGACAGAGACCUCUGCAGCGAUAGUGCCUGGCAUCAGUGAUUGACGGGGAGCCAUCUGAUCAACUUUUGUUUCUGAAGGAAAACCCUGAGGAAACUCACUACCAUCCUCAGUGGCUGGUGGAUGGAUAAAGAGGUGGAAAGCAAGUUGGUAAGACUGCGGAUGGUCUUUCUUUUUCUCUUUCUUUUCCUUGUUUCCUCUCUCUUUUUUUCUCUUUCUUUCUUUCUUUUCUUUCUUUCUCUGUCUCUCGCUCUGUCUUUCUUUCUUUUCUUUUCUUUUUUUUGACAGAGUCUCACUCUGUUGCCCAGGCUGGAGUGCAGUGCUGCAAUUCAGGCUGACUGCAACCUCUGCCUCCCGGGUUUAAGCGAUUCUCCUGCCUCAGCCUCCUGAGUAGCUGGGACUAUAGGCGCCCACCACCAUGCCCAGCUCAUGUUUGUAUUUUUAGUAGAAAUGAGACUUCGUCAUGUUGGCCAGGCUGGUCUCAAACUCCUGACCUCAAGUGAUCCCCCCGCCUCGGCCUCCCAAAGUGCUGGGAUUACAGGUGUGAGUCACCGUGCCCAGCCAGAUGGUCUUUCUAACCAAACAACAGGGUAGCUGCAGGUCUCAGACCUUCUGUUUCUGCUUAACUGGUUGUAAAGAAUAUUCAUAUUGGUGGAACGAGAGGAAUGAGAAGGGUGGCUGUUUGCUUUCUGUGUGUGUAACAGAGAUGUAGAUGGUGGCUGUGUUACAUGAGAGAGGCCCAGAGGGCAGGAGAGAAGGAAGUGUCCAUGCUCACUAUUGCAAUUUAGUGUCUUAAGAUUCGUAUUUUGUUAAUUAUUUUGCUUGGUGAAAGUGACUUAACAUGUUUGAGCCAUAAGAAGAGACAACCAGAAAUGUGAUAAAGCCAAGAAAACUAUAGCAAAUGAUACUCUUGUGACAAGUCCUCCCCAUAAUGCCACACUGUUUUCCUCAAAUCCCCUCAAAGCACAUGGCAAAAGACAAAACUCCUGUCAACAAUUUCAGCUGCAAGUGAGAAUGAGAGGUUGGGAAAAUUUAUACAAUAGUAUGGUUCUCUCAGUUGUAUUCUUUGGUUAAAAUAUUGUCUUAAACUUCAACAGGCCACACUGUUUGUUUCAGUGUGGUUGAGAAAGAUGAAAAAUCAAAGCCAUUUCCUUUUACAAAAGCUUUCUGGAGGGCUGCUGAGGGUUACUUACCUUUGGGGGUGGCCCUUUGAAGGGAGACUGAGGAAGUGUAAUGGAAGGAACCAUGUGAGCAUUGGCCUGUCUGAGAAGUUAUCCAUGCUUUCCCUACAACCCCUCACCUGCAAGACGCCUCUAAGAGCUAUAAAAUCUUUCCCUCCCUUCUCUCCAACAGUCACAGACAGAGAUUGGCACUUCCUACAAGGCAGGCUUUCCAUCAUGUAGUUUGUAGAUUGUGUAAGUGGUUCUGAGAUGUGAAAUGCUCUAAAUCUCAUUUCCCCAUCAUUUUCCAAAAGUAUUUUUCUAGGUGAGAUUUCUAUCUCAUAGAUGGCAUUGAUAUCUCAAUGCAAGGACAGGAGCAACUCAUGCUGCCUGCUUUGACCACCCUCCCCCACACUUCAUCACCAUCCCUGCCUAACCCCUGGAGCAACUGUCCCUAAAGGGCCAUGGUGGUGGGGCCCCUGGCCUCAGAGCCUCCCCGCGUCCCCAGGCAGCUGUGGCAGAGCCCUGAACAUCACUCCUUCGGUGAUCCUUGGUCUCUCCUUCUCACCUGUAUGGGAAAAGAGACUUGGGCUGAGAAAUGCAUUCAGAUUUUUUCUGGCCUGUGGACUGUUUUCUUUCUAUGGUCUGAGUGUGUAGAGUGAGCAGAAACUAUGAAGAGCCAUGAGCAGUUCCGGGGGAGCAGCUGCGAGCAUCAUGGAAGGCCUCUGCCCUGUCGGAGAAGCCGGGAUCCUCUUCAGCUUGGACACUACAUCAGUGACACUGGCAUCUCCCCCAUGCCAGGUAAAGUGGGGUGGGACCACAGGGAAGGCCGCCCUCUCCCAUGCCACAUCCAGGAAUGUGUGUUUGGUCCCUGCUGUAUACAAAGGGAGAUUAGGACUAGGGGAUUUGAAUCUUUCAAUGUUCAAGAACUUUGGAGAUUAUUUAAUCCAGUGGUUUGCAAAUGUCUUUUAGCUGUCCUUUAGCUGCAAAUGUCCUUUUGCUCAGGGAAAACUAUUUCAGAAGCACAUUUUUGCAAGCAAAGGCAGAUGUGUCUGGUUGAAGCAGCAGUAGGCUUUGGAGAUAGAGAUACUCACAGGCUAAAGAGGUGGGUGGGAGUAGCCUCAUGAAUGAUUCUGCUUCCUCUUUAGGAUUUUCUUUAAAAUAACAUCACUGCAGCUUUCAGUUAAGCCCUGGACGCUGUUCACUUAGGCCUGAGCCCAGACCCUCCAGAGCCACACAGUCCAAUAUGGUAGCCACUCUUGUUUUAUAUUUUAUUUAAUUUUAAUUAAUUUAAAGUAAGAUAGCUCUAUGUGAGUUAAAAAUCUUUUAAAUUCAGUUUCUCACACACAUUAUACACAAUUCUAGGACCCAAUAGCCAUAAGUGAUGAGUGGUUACCCAUCAGGCAGCGUGGAUAUCGAACAUUUCCAUCAUUGCAGAAAGCUCUGUUGGACAGAAGUUCUGUUGAACAGCCUCACUUUAGAGUCUAGAAUUUCCUUAAGGGGACCCUGGAUUCUCUUGGGCUCUGGGAAACACAGUUAGAAAAGCACUGGUAGAAUCUAACACCUGAACGAGAAGAGAAGUCCACAGAAGCAGCGUGGUUUGCCAGCCACGUGGCAGGUUAUUGAAGAACUAGAGCUACACCUCAGCUCUCCCACUCCACCCUACUGCACUUCUGCCUGACCCCAACCCCUAACCUAACUGUUCUCUGUUGCCUCUCCAGAAUUGCCGUCCACGCUAAGCCUUUUGCCCACAUCUCUACUGUUUAGAGACGGAACUGAGGUCUCAGACAUCUCUGAGGUUUGAGAAGGGACAUUAAAUUUUAUACAUGUGCAAUCAGCUUCAGGCACUUAAUAGAGACAUUUAAACUCACAUCAGGCCCAAGCAGAUGUAGAGGGAAAUACUGUCAAUUAGUGAGUGGCUAAUUAAUCUUUCUUUGCCACAUAUACUCUGGCAGGGUCUAGAAAGUGCUGUUUUGCUCAGAGCUGCAGGAGCACUUGCUAUGGAAACAGUGCAUGAUUAUAAUAUUGAUUUCUCAACUUUGUGCAGAAGCCGGCAGUGGAGGGCAGAUCUUGCCAGGAGUCACCCCACAGUUAGAAAGGAAAGGGAUGAGAAAGUAGAAAAAUAGCUUAAUUAGUGAACCAGGGCAUUUUGGGUUUUCUGCUUUGCAUAGAAUAUGCAUAUUUUAUCCUCAUAGCAUCUCCCAAUUUAGGUAUUUAAAAGUGAUUUCCUAAUCACAUCUUGUUAUUUUUCAAUCUAUGUAUUAUCAUGUUUUUUUGCAAUACACAGGUGUCCAGAUUAAUCAGGAGACCAUUGUAGAUGAGGCAUCGCUCUAGGACCUGGUACCUGCUUGUGCUUUGUCCAGAACUGAGCUCAGAACUUGCCCAGUUCUACCACAUGUCUGAAAACUUCUUCCUUCCUGUCCACAUCAUUCCGUAGUUGUCUCUGAGAUAUGUCUAUUUACAAGAAGAUACUCUGAAAAGGGCCAAGUCAGAAAUGACAUCUUGAUGUAUCCAGCCAGCCAGCAGUCUCAGUAGCCACUAAAAAAUUAGGUCAGUAGUUAAAAAUACUUUUACAAAGAAAAGCCCAGGCUUGGAUAGUUUUAUAAGAAUUACACCAAACAUUCAAGGAAUAGUUAAUAGUUCAUUCAAAUCUUAUACAAAUUCUUUCAGAUAAUAAAAAAAGAAAAAGAAAAACUCCUUAGCAAAUAUGUGAGAUAAAUAUAAACACAAUAUGAAAUUCACAUAGAGAUAAUUCGAGACAGGAAAAAUGAUUUACUCAUGAACAUAAAUGCAAAAAUCCUUUAAAAAUAUUGGCAAACUGAAUCCAAGAAUAUGUGAAAAAUAUAACACACCAUGAUAAAUUUGCAUCAUCCUAUAAAUGCAAAAUAUAUUUUGUAUUAAAAAAUCUAGUUUAGUUCAUGAAAUUAACAAAUUAAAUAAUUAUUUCAAUACUAUUAGAUAAACUUUAAACAUAUGUGGUCUCCUAGCUCUCCAAAGACCUCAUACUAAAAUAAUAGUUCUUCUUAAUAGAAGGAGCAAGGAAUUAUUGUUCCCAAAUGUUUUUACACACCUCCCCGCUAUGAGAGAAGUGUACUUCCUGGUUGGCUGACAUCCAGCCUGGGCCAUGUGACUUGCUCUGCCAGGAGUAGCAGGAAAGCAGAAAUGAUGUCUAUUAAGUCUUGAAAGAGGCUUUAAGAGCUAAUACACUCUUCUCCCACAUCCCCUCCUCAAGGGUCUCACUCCUAAAUAAAUGUUACUUUUUCAACUUCCAUCCCAGAAUAAAAAAGCAUGUGGAGCAGAAAUGGAACAGAGUAGAGGCCAGCUCAGUUUCCAUGUUAUAAAACCAAAUAGACAUCUUUGUUGCAGUAAGCCCCCAUGAUCUGGAUGUUGUUUGCUAUCACAAUAUAACUUACUCUGUGAUGAUUGCUAUUUUAAAAAGAGUACCUACCAAAAAUUUGUAGCGCAAACCAUACUUACUAAUAAAAAAUUAACCUUACUCCCUUUAAAAUAAAAAACAACAGUGAUGCCUUUGAUUCAACAUUGUGCAGUAAGAUAAGGAAAAAUAAAAUGUAGGAAUUAUAAAAGGAAAUACUAAGCUUUGGUUAUUUGCAGGUAAUAUGAUUGUUUAUAUAGAAACUCCUCAAGAAUAUGGACAUAAUUUAACAAAACAGAGCACCUAAAAUACCAACAAAAUCAUAAUACAUCCAGGAAUAAAUCUAACAAAAUUUGUGCAAGACUUCUUUGAAAUUAUAUAUGUUAUUAAAAUACAUUAAAGUAAACGUAAAUAAAUGCAUAUAUUAUUUAUCUAUUUAUUUAUUUAUUAUUAUUAUUUUUUUUUGAGAUGAGGUCUCACUAUGUUGCCCAGGUUGGUCUCGAACUCCUGGGCUCAAGUGAUCUGUUCACCUUGGCCUCCCAAAAUGCUGGGAUUACAAGCAUGAGCCACCACACCUGGCCUUAUAUUUAUUUUGUAUACAUAUAAUAUUUGUGAUAGAAGGACACAAUAUAUUAAAAGUUUGGUCAUUCUCUUCAAAUUGCUCUAUAAAUAAAAUGCAAUUCCUUUCAAAUUCAAUCCAGAGCUGUUUGCAGAACUUGAUAAGCAGAUUCUAAAAUUUUUAUGGAAAAAUGAAGCACAAGAAUAGCUGAAACACCCCUGUAGAGGAUGAACAGGAUGAGGCGAGCUGUUUUGCCAGUUUUCAUUGCCCUGUGUAUAUAAUAAAGCUUUGAUUAAUUAAGAGAGCAUAAUAUGGCACAGGAACAUAGGAUAGACCAGUGGAUCAGCACAGAGCGUGUAGAAACAAGCCCACACAUAAAAUGAAAUCUAGUAUAUAACUGGAAUGUCACUGCGGAUCAGUAAGAAUGGGUUGCUCAAUAAAUGAUGCUAUGAUCAUUUGUUUUCUAUAUGGACAACAACAACACAAAAAAGAAUACACAAAAAUAAAUAAAAGGGAAAAAGAUUUAGAUAUGGAAACCACAAACUUAAGACUUUGGGGAAAAAUAUAGAAUAUUUCUAUGAUCUUGGAGCAGGAAAAAAAUGAUGAAAACAAGACCCGAAAAGCACAAAUAUAAAUGAAAAGAUAAGAAAGUUAACUGAGUUAAAAUUAAUAACACUUCUUAAUCAAAAGAUUCCUAAAUGCAAAGAUAAGCAAAAAGGAAAAGUCUGCCUCCCCCAAAAGCAGUGGUAAAACAUAGGAAUAAACACUUCACAGAAGAGUCAGCCCAAAUAGCUAUUAAAUAAAUGAAAAAUGUUCAACCUUUUAAAUAAUGAAGAUGUUGCAAGAUAAAACCACAAUAAGUUAAAGUUUUAUACUAAAAUGUUGGUAAGGAUGGAGAUCACUGCAAAACAAACUGUAUAUAUAUAUAUAUAUAUAUAUAUAUAUAUAUAUAUAUAUAUAUAUAUAUAUAUGCUAUGUAGCUUUCUACAACCACUCUGUAUAACAAUUUGGUCAUAGUAAAGUAAAAAUAUGCAUAUCCUAUGACCAGGAAAUCUCACACACACACACACACAAAAUGCACAUGCUUAUGUGUACACACAAUCCCUAAAAAUACCCUUGAACAGGGGCACCCAGAGAUAUGUACAAGUAUAUUCAUAGAACCAUUAUGUGUGCUUAGCUACUAUUACAACCAUUAACACGGUUGAAGCCCGCAAACAAAAAAUUAAUGAAAAAGCAAGAUGCAGGAUACACAUACUAUGGUUUAUAUAAAGAUCAAAAAAUAACAAAAGUAUACUGCAUAUGGUUGAGAAUAGCCAGGGCUGACUAUAUAAUUUUUAGGCUCAGGGCAAAAUGAAAAUGUGGGAUCCCUUUGUUCCAAAAGCAGGGGAAAAGCUUUUAUCUUUCUUUCAUGGUCUAUCUCUGUAGGAUAAUGGCCAUAGUAUCUUGAUAAUUCAUAGAAAAAAAAACUAUAUUAACUCUAAACAUUUGAAAAAGCACUCAACUUACAAAAUACACAAAGAAACCAUUUUUAACCCAUUGGAUUGACAAAUAGAAAAAAUUGAUAACACACUCUCUUACCAAGACACUCUCAAAUAGUGCUAAUGGAGAAAUGAAAGGACACAGCCAUUUUCAAUAAUAAUUUGUCAAUAUCUUUCAAAAUUUCACAUCAAAUACUCUUUGAUUCUAUGGGAACUUCUCCUAUAUGUUUGAAAUUAUACAUGUAAAAGGAUGUUAAUUGCAGCAUUUUAUAAUUCCAAAAGAUUGGAAAUACCCUAACUAGCCUAAAGCAAGAGAGAGGUCAUAUCUGGGUCUUUGGAAGGAUAAUGGAAUGAUAUGUUAUGCAACCAUUAAAAUAUUGAGGUAGGUCUGUCUGUGCUAAUAAAUGAUCACCAACAUAUAUUGUUGAGUGAAAAAAUAAAAAGAAUUCUUUGCAAAAGAAUAUGACUAAUAUGGUAUCAUAUUUGUUGGAGAGUAAAGAGUGAGGGGAGAGACAGACAGAGAAUAUAUAUUUGUUCAUAUAUGUGUACUAUGGUUUGAUGUUUGUGACUCUCCAAAUUCAUGCUGGAAGUCCCCAGUGCAACACUAUUAAGAGGUGGGUCCUUUAGGAGAUGACUUAUUAAAGAUUAGUGUGCCUAUGAAAGUGAUUGAGGGAGAGAGUUCACCCUUUUUGCCCUUCUACCAUAUGGGGACACAGAAGGGAGACACCCUCUUGGAAGGAGAGAGCAAGCCUUUACCGGACACUAUAGCUGCCGACACUUUGGUGUUGGACUUCCCAGACUCUGGAAUGGUGAGAAAUAAAUUUCUGUGGUUUAUAAAUUACCCAGUCUAAGGUAUUCUGUCAUAGCAACCAGAGUAGACUAAGACAACAUACAUCUUCUGGAAUGAUAGAGUAGGUAACAGUAAUUGCUCUUUAGGAAGGAAACUAGGACUUUAAAAAACACUUUGCGCACUUAACAUUUUAAUUUGUGUGCACGCACUACUUUUUAAAAAAUAAUAUUUUAAAAAGUGGAAGCUUACAUUAUGAGUUUACAUUAUUGCCAGUUUAUUAUCAAUGAAAAGCUACAAUAUUAUUUCAACUACAGAUAAUUAUUAAGAAAUAAAAGGACCCCAGUGUGCCUGCUGAACAAAGAGAGAAGGACAUUUUGGAGACCAUAAAACAUUCUACAUUGGCUUUUGAUGUGUCUGAAGUGAAACAUACAUACUUCCCAGAGAAAGGUAGUAAAACAACCUGUAAACUUAAAGAGAAAGAAAAAAAAGCCCACAAAGCUCUUCUUUUUACAUACGUUGUUUUCCUGGUAAAAUAUGCUAGUGAUCUAAUCACCUAGUAUAUUUUGAGUACCCACCAUGUACUACACGCUGUGUUAGAGUGUGAGAAAGGGUGUCUAUAAAGGAGAGUAGGGCAUAGUCCCUACCCUCCGAUCUAAUUAGGAAGACAGGCCACACAAGAAGCACUAUUGUUCUAUCUCUAAAAGGUUCCAUUUAGGCACGUGAUCUAUGACCACCUCUAACUUUAUUUUAAAAUUCUAAUUAGCAAAUAAUACAAGACGAUAUAGUUUUAAGAGUGUUGGAGUAUGGGUCUUAGUGCUGCAGAAAUUUCACAACAGGGAGAGUGUGGAGACUGGAAUAAUGGAAAAUAACCUAUUCUGGUAGGGACAGCUGAUAUGGACAGAUGGAUGGGAUUUGGCUUAUCUGGAGGACUAUCUUGCUAUUGCAGUUUUUCUCCAUCUUCACACUGUAAGAUGUCUUUCCUCCUCUGUUUACAGCAUGGCUCCUGUUACAGCCUUCCGUUGUUCAGCUCAAACAACAUCGGUCUUGACAGUGGAGAGUAAAUGUGAAAGUUGGAAAGUAGCAACAGGCAUAAAUAAAUAUGCAGGCUUAUCGUCAUUUUAUAUUUAUUUUGGAACCCUUAGUAAAGAAGGCUUGCAUGGGCCUCUUUUCGUUCAGUAAGUUGAAAAGUAAAAACAGUCAGGUAGACAGACCUGACUUAAUGUUGAUCAUCCCCAUCGCUUAUGAGCUGUGUAAACUUGGGCAAGUCAUUGGGCUACAGCUUACUAACCAAAAAGUAGGGAAAAUAACCACUGUGUAGUGUUAUUAUGAAGAUUACAUGAGACAAAGGUAAAGAAUAUAUAUUAGAUACCUAAUAAAUCAAAGCCAUUCACUUUUAUUAUUGUUCCAAAUCCAAGUUGCUUCUUUCUUCCCCAGGUCAUUAGGUCCGGGUCUUAGAUUCCCCUAUCAGGAUCUCCUCAUCCAUAGAUCAGCACACGGCCCUAGGCCUGCCUAACAUCUCUUAAGGUUAAUCCUUUCAUUUUCAACUUACAUUAAUAAUAAUACUAAU